rnacentral:lncRNA from 1 species
UCUUCCGUUCUUCAAAAUCCACGGAAAAAUACAUAAAAAAGGAGGACCAACAAAAGCUGACUAUAGGACUGAAAAGGCUGACAGCCGCAGAGCAACUAAAAACCCGCUCCCCAUUUCCAAUUCCUGUAAGCACAACACACUUUGUUCAAUUGAAACUGAGCCAUAGAUCCGUUUGAACUCAUAUAAUAAUCUUACAACGAAGUGGUGCCGAAAUAGAUACGAGAUCCCUAUGCCGAUCUACUAGGCUCAAACACAAAUAGCCAUUUUGGGAUUUUCUUCCACAAAGAAAUAAAUUAGCCGAAAUACAUAAAGAAUAUACAAAAAACUUCAACACACCCAACCACCAUCUUCAACAGAACCCCCGAAAAUUCGACCACUCCUCUACACAGAAACGAAGCCAGCCGCACCUAAUUCCCAUAAAAUUCCAGCCGUCAUCACAUAACGAAAGAAAAAAACAAAAAUAGUCUCACACACAUACACACAGAGGAAGAAACAGAGGCGAGAGAAUGAGUAGCUAUUGGUCAUUUUUUGAGCUUGUCGGCGAGGUCCCUUCUGUGGUCGAUGGCAAAUUUUCCGGUCGAAAGGUUCUGUAAUCUUCAAGUUGGUGUAAUUUUAAUUCAAAUUCAUUGAAAAUUUGCUUCUGACGAGGUCCAUUUUUUAACUUUGCUUAAUUAAUUUUCACUAUUAAUCCUUGCGUGUUUGAGAUUUUAAUGAAAAUUUUAUUGAUUUAUGUUUUCCUAAUUAUGAGGUUAUGUCGCUGAAUUAAGGAAGUUAGCUCACUAUUUUAUGUAAUCACUUCUCUUAUUAAAAAUCUUGUUUGAAAGUACCAUGGUUUCGGUGAUAUGUUAGUUUAGCUAGAAGGUAAAAUAGGGUAAAACGUGGAGGUAUUUUGGAUUUUUGAUGACAUUUCUUCGGGCAGCUGACUGAAGAAUUGAUGUCACUUGUGAGGCAAUAUCCUUAAUUUGGUAUUUGGUUGCGUACUUCUUAUUUUCUAUAUUCUUGAUAUUUCCUUGCCCUCAUAAUGAAUGAUAUUGGGGUUUAAUUGUCAAUAGCCUGUGAUUUCUCCUGUCAUAAUGGUUGCAUCUCAGCAGUUACUGAUUCCAGCUAUGGUGGUUUUUGGGUUCGAGGUUUAAUGGGUUCAUUCUGUGUUUCUGAUUCUAGACAAAAUUGGUAAAAUCUGGUUAUUUUGGUCUAUUCGCGUUAGAAUAAAUUGGGGGUGCCAUGCCAAACAAAAUUUAUAAUCUAUGGCCCUCAAAAGAUUAGCUCAAACAUCCUUUGAAAAAAUUUGCUUGAGGUGUGCCAUUUCAGUAAAUAACUUAUGGCCCUCGUUAAUUAUUUCUAAAAAUCGAGGUGUGCUAUCAAUUGAAUUUUCCAUGGCCCUAGCAAACAUUGUUAAUUUGAAAUCUCGUAGUUGCUUUAGGCGCACUAUUUAAAUUGAUUUCAUUUAUUUAUUAAAUUCGGGUGUGCAUUUCAUGUGAUUCAUUUUCAAUUCUCAACAACGUUAAAUAGAAUGUAUUGUGGACCGCGAGUGCAUUACAUGUGGCGUGGUUCAAGGCGUGUUUUAAAUAACGUUGAAUCUUCUAAAAUGAUUAAAAGCGGUUAUUAAGUUAAACAAUGUACAAUAAGUUAAAACAUGUAUUAAAAUCAGAUAAUAGGCCAAUUAUACUAGUUUACGUGACCGUGCUAGAACCACAGAACCUGGGAAUGCCUAACACCUUCUCCCGAGUUAACGUAAUUCCUUACUUAGAAUCUCUAGUUCGUAGACUUCAAAAGAAAAGUCGAAUUUCCUUGAUUUGAGAUUUAAAAAUAAACCGGUGACUUGGGACACCAAUUAAAAUAUUCCAAGUGGCGACUCUAAAAAUCAAAUAAAUAAUCCUAUUUCGAAUAGUGUCACUUAAAGUGGAAAAAUUCCCUUAUAUACCCUCUCGGGCGUGUAAAAAGGAGGUGUGACAGCUCUGGCUACUCCACUGGGGAUAAGAACCCAGAAUCUUUGGUUCAGGGUUUAAGAAUUCUAGCUUAGAAUAACUGUUAUAGUUGUCUUGUUUUAUUUGAUUUUUACAUGUUGAGCCUAAUGUGCUAAAUGCCGCUUUUACCGCUUUGAUAUUGUUUGGACUAUAUAUAAAUUGCUACGAAACCCUCCUCUCUCUGAGUCUUCUAAAUCAUCUGGGAAGUGUGCACUUCGUGUGACUUCUUUUCUGUUAGAGUCUUAUCCCAAUUUUAGAACGAGGUUCGGACAAGUUGCAAAGCCGGUGAAGCUUCUGUAUUCCCAGUACGCUGCCUCCCCCUCGGCUUGAGCUGUCUGCUCGGGUAAGCCAGAUCUAGAAUAACACACCCAGGUUUUAAACCUAGUAUAACAAAGCCUCAUGCCGGAUCCCUAGUAAGUCUAAAAGACCAUCCUGAUGCAUUCUACUUGCUACUUGUGCAUUUAUUUGCUUCAGAUUUGCAUGUUGACUGACUUAUGAAGAAUAGGAGAAAAGUUGGGAAAAAGAAAAAUCAAUGUCAGGGCUGAGAGAGAUAAUUGCCUGUUUUUUGAAAAACCCGAUGUCCAAAAGGUACCGAAAUUCUGCCAAAAUUUUGAAAAAAAAGAAAGAAAAUUUUGUUUAAAAAAAAGUUAGUAUCGUUUUAUUAUGUCAAAUCUGUCCGAACUACGCCAGUCUGAUUCUCACCGGAUGUGAGAUACGUAGGCAAACCUCAUCGGUUCCGACCCCAAUUUUCAAAAAAUCCAAAAGAUAUUUUCCAUUAGUUCCUUCUUUAAAAAUCUUUCCUUAGAAAAUUCAAAAAAAGAAAGUUUUUUUAAAAACUCAAAAAUUUGUUUCCAUCUUUUUAAAGUCUUUCAUACAGAAAGAAAAAAAAUCAAAAUCCAAAAUACAGAUUUCCUUUAUUUUGAAGUAUUUUUCUCAAAUAUUAAAAAAAAUGAAAACAAAAAAAAACUUUUCCUUGUUUAAAAGUCUUUCUUUCAAAAAAAAAUUUGAAAAAUUAAAGUCUAAAAAUAUUUUUGCUUUUCGUUAGAAGUACUUUUGUCAAUAAAUAAAAAGUUCAGAAAUUCAAAACAUUUUUCUUAAAAAAUCCCUCUUUCGAAAAUUAAGACAACAUCCAAAAUCCAAAAAUAUUUUCUUUCUUCUUUAGAAAAAGAGAAAACAAAUGAAAAUUCAAAAAAAAAAGAGUUAGCUUAUUUACUCCAUUCUCUAUCUUUCCGAACUACGCAAGAUCUGAUUCAUGCGCUGUCAUGAUACGUAAGCAAUCCCCAUCGGAUUCGAUCAUAGCCAUAAAAUUAGUUGAGUGAUAAAAUAAACUGAAAAAUUGAGAAAAAAAAGGGAAAGAAAAAAGUGAAAAAGAAAAGAAAAGAGAGAGUGACAAAAAAUAAAAUAGUGACAAAAACAAAACAAAAAAAAGAAAAGAGUGCCAAAAAAUAUAAAGAGUGACAAAAACGAAAUGAAAAAAAAAUCAAAAGUGAUUAAGAGAGGCAGAAAUAAAAAAAAAGUGGUACAUACUGAAAGGGUUAACUAAGGCCGGGAUGAAACAUGCAACUGUUCAAAUACAUGGUAGAAACGUUUAAUUGUUAGGUGUAUUGCAUCCCAACGUGCGAUUUCCUAUAUGUUAAAUGUCUCAAAACUAACAAGGUUGUUCGAUGUGCAAAAAGUCAGGUUUUGGUGGUUGGUUCUGUUGGUAGUCUAGGCUCCCCUCCUUCACAACAUCAAAAGGCACAGAUGACCUCCGCAAGCAAUCUACCCAUCAUCGGUCCUGAGGAUAGCCCGGUAUCAGCUAUUCUGCAACUAUAAUCAACAGCUGCUGAAGAGAAUAAAAUGUUGCGUCUCAUCAUAUUGGAAAUGUGGGACGCCUGGUCUAAUGGUAGGGAACCGCCAAGUGCAAUCCCUGGGUUUCCUGAGUUGAUCCCCAGGUCAGGUGAGGAUAUCAACACCCUUAUUCCCAACCGGCUUAUCCCAUGCGGGCACCCUCCAAUGCCCUCCAAUGAUCCUGGUAUGCCUUCUGUGGUUCUCCCCCAAGCACCAGCUUCAAGGGUACCGCCUCCAAUGUUCAUCUUUCAAGGUCCAGAGCUUCAGUCAGAAAUAGCAUAUGUGACCCCAUAUUCUUUCACUCAACCUCCGUAAUAUGAUCUAUCGAUGGAGAAAGAAAGGGUUGUUAAAAAUAUCGAGCAAGAGGAAAUGGCUCAAAAGAUGAAGAGCUUGGAACAAGGCCUAAAAAACAUGCAAGGUCUGAGUGGCCAAAAGAGUGUCUCAUACUCUGACCUCUAUAUGUUUCCCCAUGUUCAUUUGCCAGCUAGUUUCAAGAUGCCUAAAUUUAAAAAGUAUCGGUCGCUCAUUUGAAAUGAUGCUGCAACCAGUUAAGGGGUGCUGGUGGAAAAGAGGAGUUGCUAAUGACCUAUUUUGGGGAAAGCCUCACCGGAAUAGCUUUUGAGUAGUAUAUAUAUCAAGAAAUUCCUUAUUGGCAUGUGUGGGACGAUAUGGCUCGCGAUUUUGUCUGCCAGUUCCAAUAUAAUGUGGACAUCGCGUCCGACAGAAACUCCUUGUCCAAUUUGAAAAAGAAAACCGUGGAAAGCUUCCGCGAAUAUGCUGUCAAAUGGCGUGAGCAAGCUACCAGGGUAAAGCCUCUAAUGGAUGAAAGUGAAAUGGUCACGGUCUUUCUACAGGCCCAACAGGCGGACUACUUCCAGAACAUGAUGUCCGCUAUGGGAAAGCCGUUUGCUGAGGCUAUCGAAAUUGGGGAGAUGGUUGAAAAAGGUCUAAAAAUGGGUCGAAUCUUGAUUUAUGUUGCUUUUAAAGCCACAUCAUCAGAUGUUCAAAAUGGUUCGGAGGGUUUGAUGAACAGAAAUGGGAGUGAGGAGGGAGUCAUGACGGUUUCAAGCUCGAGAAGGGCCCGCAGGUCAUUCAGCCAGUCAUGUGUGCCUCCUAUGGUCCCACCACACUAUUAUCCCCUUCAAGAUGAUGCUUAUGCUGUGGCACCGCCUCCAUAUGCAGUGAUUAGCGCGAAAUCUUACACGCAACCACAACAUCAUACACAAAACCGAGCUCCACCUCCCAGAAAUGUCAAUCAUUACCAAGAUCCAUAUAAUCCUUAACCAAAUGAUCCCCAAUACAAUCCUCGCCUAAGAGAGCCUUUCAGAAAUAAUCAGUUCACCCCGAUUGGUGAAUCGUAUUCAAGCUUCCAAAAGCUAAUCAGGCUAGAUCUAUUGCAGCCAGUGGCCCCGAACCGGCCAAACCCCGAGUCCCCCUCACAUCGAGCUGACGCUAGAUGUGAAUACCACUCUAGAGCAGUAAGACACAGUACGAAGGACUGUUGGACCCUCAAAAGGGCAGUUGAAGAUUUGAUUGAAGUUGAAAGAAUCGUUUUUCGGGAUGAAGAAACUCCUGAUAUGAUGAACAAUCUGUUGCUUGCCCAUAACAUCUGGCCAAUGGUCGGAAUGAUUUGUGAAGCUGAGGAAUUUGAUCCUGCACUGAAAGCCGUUGCAGCCAUUGCCGAGAUAGAAGAAAAUCCAAAAAAUGGUCGCCAAUCAUGACAGUUUCCCAUCAGACGGGAGUCUUAGUAGCCAGACUUGCUAUCUUUUCUGUGUCCGGAUUAUCUCAGGGUGUGAUCCAGAUGUUUUACCUUAUUGUCUUACUUUCUGAUGUAAACCCUUCUAUCUUCAAAAAAUUGAAAAAAGGAAAAAAUAAAAAGAAAAAAAAUCAAAAAAGCAAAAAUCAAAUGAAAUUAAUAUUUCAUUGUCAAGUAAUGUCUCUUUUCUUAAUCUUGUCAUUUUUCUUUCUUAUUUUCUUUUUGGUUCUGUUAAAUGCAGAUUUCAAUAAUAUGACAUGCUUGCGGACUUCAUGCCCAGAUCCUGAAAGCUGUCAGACCUCGAAAUAAUGAAUCAAGGAUUAGAUCUCAAUGAAGAUAAAGUUUAAGAAAAUAAAACAAAGAGUUGGAACAAUUGAAGGAAAAUUGGUUCCUAGAUUGGAAAAGUCCAUACAUUGAAACAAGAGUACUGCCAAAAGAGUGCGUUGUACUUGGGACACAUCGAAGAAAAUGUCCCUGAAAUAACUGCCAAUGCAAAUGCAGUCAAAAGAUAAUAUGUUGGAUCCUCCAUAUAGUUCUAAUAUUCUCCGGUUGGGAUGACGAAGGAUUUCAUUCUCACUAUCCAAACACUUAACCCUUUGCAAACCCAUUUGAGCCAGUUACUCUUCUUUGAUUACCCUCUUUAGAACUAGAAAGUGUUAUUAAAAAAAAUUGAAAAAUGAAAACAAAGAAAAAAAAAGAAAAGGGGGGAAGAAAAGACAGAGAAAAUGAAAUGAAAAAAAUGAAAAACAAGAGGAAAAAGGAAAGGAAAAAGAAAGAGAAAACAAAGCAAAAUAGUAAAACAAAAGAAAAUCAAAAAACAAAGUUUUCCUGAACUAUGUUCGACUUGAUUCCGAAAGGAUACGUAGGCAACCUCUCUCUGGGGUACAGUCAUGCCAAAAUAAAAAUAAAAAGUCCACCAAAAAAUGAAACUGGAUCAGAUAUUAUAAUGGUUCGACGAUGAUCUCGCCCAAAAUGUUCCAAAGUUGUAAUUCAGUCCAAAUCAUUUUUACCCAAAUUCUUUCAAAUCCUUCCUAUCAAUCGGUGAGACUAUUUAAGGACAGAAGAAUACAGUUACUUGGAUUCGAUACAGUCAAAAUGAGAGAAAUAAAAUGAGAGAGUCUUAUUGGUGAAAACCCACACGGGCACCGUGAGGCGACAGUAAGCAAUCAAAAUGAGAUAAAUAAAAUUAGAGAGUCUUAUUGGUGAAAACCCACACGGAUACGUAAGGCGAUGGUAAGCAGAGAAAUUGAAAAUGAGAGAGUCUUGCUGGUGAAAACUCGCAAGAGCACUACAAGGCGAUGGUGAGAAAAGAAAUGAGAGUGGUCAGCUAGUAAAAACCCGUAAAGGGCGACACUGAUCAAAAAAAGAUCCUCACAGCCAUUGACAUCGACAGAGUCCUGGCAAGGUUUCUCGAUUUUGAGGCAAAAGUUAUGAUGAAUUUCUGAGAGUUGGAUGGUUUACACAGAUCAUGCAUCCAGUCCAAAAGGCAUGUCAUGUUCAUUGAAGUCUGUAUGCACUCCAGAUAAGUCCUUCUUUCUCCCCCCGAAAGAGAUACCUCUCGUCUAAAUUCACUAUCCAUUUCAUUGUUUGUUUUUCUUUGAACCCCUUUCAGUCAAACUCUAUUCCGAAUCAAAGACAAAGAAAGGAUGUCAAGAUUGAUUUACUAGGAUUUUGUUUGAUACGAGCCAAUAUUCAAGAAGAUACCCAGCCUCGGCAGGUGCAUCGGGUCGACUGGCCAUGAUGGCCGAUGCUUUGAAAUAAAAAGAAACUCCUGAAAAGAAAGGAAAUCAAAGUCAAAGUCCUAUAAAGGCAAAUGAAGUUGAAAAGGUUAAGUCCCACGUAGCUAACUGUCUCGGGAAAGGUUUGAAAAGCCAAUGAACCCCAAAUGCUCUGAAAUUGAAGUUGAAAGAAAGAAGCCAGAACUAAACGGCCUACGAAGGAGAUAUAAAGUUGGAAAAGGUAAGUCCCAUGCGACUAGCCGUUGCAGCAAGUUUGAGGAGCCAAAAAGUUCCCUGAUGCUCCGAAGAAAAAAAAGAAAAGGAAGUCAGAAAGGAAAGGCCUAUGAAGGCAAAAUAAAGUCGGAAAGGUUGAGUUCCAUUGACCAACCGUCGUGGCAAAGUCUAGAAAAAACCAGAGGUUCUCCAGGGCCUGAAAUGAACUUGGUCCCCAGGAAACAAGCAGUUGCAAUUGAGAUCUUCAUCAAAGAAGCCGGGCCGAGAUCAAAUGAUUGAAACAAUCAAGGCCACAAAACCAACCACCAUUUUAAACUAAUAAUUUUUCUUUAUUUGAAAACAUGAAACAGGUUCCAUCCAAAGCAACCUUGUAAGAAGCAGGUGCAACCAAAUAGAAACAGCGCAAGGGCUAGAAACAGCUUUGCAACAAUAAUCUAUCAAUAAGGGAAGUCUCCUCCGAAUUCUUUCCUGCAUUUUUACUAAUUUUCUUAAAAACCAAAAAAAAAAGAAUAAUAUAAGAAGAAAAUUCAAAAAGCAAAUGGUAUCUUAGGACCCCCAAUCUCUACUUUUACGCUUUUCCAACAUAGGGUCUCCAUUCCCUAGUUGAUUUUAGUUUUUGACAUAGGGUCUCCACUCCCUAGUCACCUUUUGCCAACAUAGAGUCUCUACUCCCUAGUUGAGAUUAUUUUAGACAUAGGGUCUCCACUCCCUAGUCGCCNNNUNNCNANNNACCUCCACUCACUAGUUGAGAUUAUGUUUAGACAUAGGGUCUCCACUCCCUAGUCACUUUUUGCCAGCAUAGGGUCUCUACUCCCUAGUUGAGUUUAUUCUUAGACAUAGGGUCUCCACUCCCUAGUCGCCUUUGGCUAAUAUAGGGUCUCCACUCCCUAACUGAGAUUAUUUUUAGACAUAGGGUAUCCACUCCCUAGUCGACUUUUGCCAACAUAGGGUCUCCACUCUCUAGUUGAGACUAGGCAUAGGAUCUCCACUCACUAGUCGCCUUGUGCUAACAUAGGGUCUCCACUCCUUAGUUGAGGUUAUUUUAGAUAUAGGGUCUCCACUCCCUAGUCGCCUUUUGCCAACAUUGGGUCUCCACUCCCUAGUUGGGAUUAUUUUAGACAUAGGAUCUCCACUCCCUAGUCGCCUUUUGCCAACAGAGGGUCUUUACUCCCUAGUUGAGAUUAUUUUAGACAUAGGGUCUUCACUCCCUAGUCGCCUUUUGCCAACAUAGGGUCUCCACUCCCUAGUUGAGAUUUUAGACAUACGGUCUUCACUCUCUAGUCGCCUUUUGCCAACAUAGAGUCUCCACUCCCUAGUUGAGAUUAUUUUUAGACAUAGGGUCUCCACUCCUAGUCGCCUUUUGACAGCAUAGGGUCUCCACUCCCUAGUUGAUUUUUAGUAUAGAUAUAGGGAUCCACUCCCUAAUCUCUUUCCCAAGGAUACACAAUCCUUAUUAGCUUUCAAUAAAGAAAUAGUUUAGAAUUUUGUUACAAUAGCUCACGAAAUUUUUCCUAGUGAAAACUGGGGCAGGAAAAGAUCGUUCGUUUGUUUGCUUUGGUGCCUAAACAGGUUUUCACCAUGAGGAACAAGGUUUGAGAUGACCAGAAGAAGAAGUCUCAACCCAAACAAAAGAAAAAAACAAGAAAAGAAGUGAACUCAAAGUGCAGAAGCGGAGAAAGAUGCGGAAUGUUUAAAAUAUGAUUGAAGUCACAAGCUUCGCAUGUCCCGCCUUGAUCCGAAAAGCUGAAGAAGAAGGAACCAGCACCUGCAGCUAACAAGUAUCAAGAUUCAGAUCAGAGUCCGCCUGAAGAACCAACCAAGACUCAAGAUCAAGCUUCAAAAGACUCAUAGAUAGGAAUCUUGUAACUCGUAGCUGAUAGGCUUAGUUCGUCUUUUUAAUUUUGAUUUUGAUGUAAUAACGAGACCACGGACCGAAACCUUGACGACACCUCGCUCGGUUUCAACCUCGUACUCCGUCACCUCAUUCACUUCUGAACUACACAUGACCUGAUUCCUUUAUAGCCAAAGAUAUGUAGGUAGCUCAGAUACCAGAGCUCAGUCACAUUCUCAUUUCUUUUAGCUUUUGGCCUCUCUAAAUAAGGGUCNNNNNNNNNNNNNNNNNNNNNNNNNCAGCUGUAGACAUGUGAUUUUUUGACUCUCCCCAAGAUUUUUCAUAUUUUUAGCACCUAAGUAUUUAAUUUAGGCCUAAUAUAGAUAUUUUAAUAAAUUUUGACUCUUUUACUUUAUUAUAUUACAAGAAAAUAAAAAUUAGAAAAAAUAAUUUCAUUAAUGUGUUGUAGUCAUUUUUAAUCUUGAAAAAUACCAAAAAAUAGUUUUGUUUUAACGGUCAGUCUCAUUUUAAUAGUUAUUUUACUUAAGUAGGACUAAUUAAUAGAUGAGAUCGUAUUUUAAUCUCGUUCGCGGGGAAAAAAGAAUACUUGAGCUUGAGCAACCCAUUUUUAGGCCUAAUUUUAGACCUAGCCCAUAAUUCCCAAGCCCAUAAUUCCUAGGCCCCAUACCCGUAACCUAAUACCUACCCCUAUAUAAUAGUACCUAAUCCCUAAAUUGACCUAAACUCUAUUAAACACUAUUCCGCCGUUCUUCUUCAAAAUGAAAAAUACACAAAAAAGGAAGACCAACAAAAGCUGACUCUAGGACCGAAAAGGCUGACAGCCGCAGUGCAAUGGAAAACUCGCUCCCCAUUUCCAAUUCCUGUAAGCACAACGCACUUUGUUCAAUUUAAACUGAGCCAUAUAUCCGUUUAAACUCAUAUAAUAAUCUUCAAACAAAGUGGCGCCGCAAUUGAUACGACAUCCCCACGCCGAUCUACUAAGGCUCAAACACAAAUAGCCAUUUUGGGAUUUUCUUCUACAAAGAAAGAAAUUAGCUGAAAUACAUAAAGAAUAUACAAAAAUAUUCAACACACCCAACCGCCAUCUUCAACAGAACCCGCUAAAAAUUCGACCACUCCUCUACACAGAAACGAAGCCAGCCACACAUAAUUCCCAUAAAAUUCCAGCCGACAUCACAUAACGAAAGAAAAAAAACAAAAACAGUCUCACACACAUACACACAAAGGAAGAAACAGAGGCGUGAGAAUGAGUAGCUGUUGGUCAUUUUUUAAGCUUGCCGGCGAGGUCCCUUCCGUGGUCGAUGGCAAAUUUUCCAGUCGAAAGGUUGCGUAAUCUUCAAGUUGGUGUAAUUUUAAUUCAAAUUCAGUGAAAAUUUGCUUCCGACGAGGUCCAUUUUUUAACUUUGCUUAAUUAAUUUUAACUGUUAUUCCUUGGGUGUUUGAGAUUUAAAUGAAAAUUUUGUUGAUUUAUGUUUUCCUAGUUGUGUGGUUAUAUCGCAGGAUUAAGGAAGUUAGCUCACUAGUUUAUAUAAUAACUUCUCUUAUUAAAAAUCUUGUUUUAAAGUACCAUGGUUUCUGUGAUAUGUUAGUUUAGCUAGAAGGUAAAAUGGGGUAAAACAUGGAGGUAUUUUGGAUUUGUGAUGAUAUUUCUUAGGGCAACUGACUGAAGAAUUGAUGUCACUUGUGAGGCAGUAUCCUUAAUUUGGUAUUUGGUUGUGUGCUUCUUAUUUUCUAUAUUCUUGAUAUUCCCUUGCCCUCAUAAUGAACCAGAAUGAAAUUGAGGUUUAAUUAUCAAUAGCCUGUGAUUUCUCCUGUCAUAAUGGUUGCAUCUCGACAGUUAGUGAUUUCCAGCUACGCUGGUUUUUGGGUUUGAAGUUUCAUGGGUCGAUUCAGUGUUUAUGAUUCUAGACAAAAUUGGUGAAAUCUGGUUAUUUUGGUUUAUUCACGUUAGAAUAAAUGGGGGAGUGCCAUGCCAAACAAAAUUUAUAAUCUAUGGCCCUCAAAAAAUUAAUUCAAACAUCCUUUGAAAAAAUAGGCUUGAGGUGUGCCAUUUCAGUAAAUAACUCAUAGCCCUUGUUAAUUAUUUUUAAAAAUCAAGGUGUUCCAUCAAUUGAAUUUUCCAUGGCCCUCGCAAACAUUGUUAAUAUGAAAUCUCGUAGUUGCUUUAGGUGCGCUAUUUAAAUUGAUUUCCUUUAUUUAUUAAAUUCGGGUGUGCAUUUCAUGUGACCCACUUUCAAUUCUCAACAACGUUAUAUAGAAUGUGUCGUGGACCCCGGGUGCAUUUCAUGUGGCGUGGUUCAAGGCGUGUUUUAAAUAACGUUGAAUCUUCUAAAAAUGAUUAAAAGUGGUUAAUAAGUUAAAAAUGUACCAUAGGUUAAAACAUGUAUUAAAAUCAGAUAAUAGGCCAAUAAUAUUUGUUUAAGCGACCGUCCUAAAACCACGGAACCUGGGAAUGCCUAACACCUUAUCCCGGGUUAACAGAAUUCCUUACUUAGAAUUUCUGGUUCGCACACUUCAAAAGAAAAGUCGAAUUUCCUCGAUUUGGGAUUUAAAAAUAAACCGGUGACUUGGGACACCAAUUAAAAUAUUUCAAGGGGCGAUUCGAAAAAUCAAAUAAAUAAUCUCAUUUCGAAUAAUGUCACUUAAAGUGGAAAAAUUCCCUUAUAUAUCCUCUGAGGUGUGUAAAAAGGAGGUUUGACACACGUGUUGAAAACACUAAAAUCCAGGGCUUCCCCUUCUACGAACAAGGGUCCGCAUCUGCGAGACCGCUUCUGCAAAACAAAGAUCGCACAUGCGACCACUGGCGCUUCUACGCCCCUACCUUUGCAGAAGUGAAGGCGCUUCUGCGGAUAAUUUCCCGCUUUUGUGACCACUGCUGGGCGAGGCUAGCUUCGCAUCUGCAACUCAAAUCUCUCUUAUGCGAGUCCGAACCCAUGGCCAAAUCCCACCGCAAUUGUGAUGAUACUAGAAUAAGCCCAACAUCAGUAAUCCUCUAACUCCAAAAACGAUCCGAAAAUGAUUUGAAUCAGACCCGAGGCCCCCAGGACCUCAACCAGAAAUACCAACAAGUCCUAGAACAUCAUACGAACUUAGUCGAGCCUUUAAAUCACAUAAAACAAUGCUAAAACCACGAAUUUAACUGCUUAUUUAUGAUUUCUAUAUUUUUCCCGAAACUGAAUUGUCUCUUUGUUUUCUUUUUCCGUAACAGUCUUUCAAUUAUUUAAAUACUACAUUUAUCAUUUCUUACGUGCAAAUACUUGAGAACUUGCUAUUUAUUGUUGCAUAAAUCAUGCUCAACAUCAUAUUCCACUCGUGUGUAAUCAAUCCGAUAGCAAUACUUGAUGAGUAUUUGCGCUCUUCCGAUAUAUCACCAUUUAAAUUUGGAAAGGACCAUUUGUGGUAAAACUAGUCGAUCAGCGGUGCGUUUGACGGUUCCGUGCCUUUCCCCAUCAAGUUGCCCGCUUGAGGGUCCCAAUCUAGACCACCAUAGCAGCCUUACACUGAUUAAUUGUACAUGUAUCAUGGUCAAACCUAGUCAAGUUAAUAUGUUGUCCACAUAAUAACCCUUUAAGACAAGCCUCGUCCAAAAGUCAUUGGGUGUUCCACAAUCCCAACGGACGUAAUCAUGAUUGUGUGCAUUAAUUUGGAGAAAUAAGUGCCAAUAUGCUAAUCAUUACUAUAUAAAUAGACGAAUCUAGAGGGGAAAGGGCCUAACUAUCUCUUGGUUUGCAAAAAAUGAGGCAUGAAGUCCCCAGAUUCGGUAUGGUCGGCAACAUACCUCCCUUUUUGAUAGACUGGUGGAGGGACCUUCCCUCGAGUGACCAGAAUCAUAUGAAAAGAGUCUUAGGGAAUUUUCCGUCACUAUUGUAUCUUCAAUCAAACAAAAUGUUGAUCGAGGCUGCCACUCUAUUUUGGGAUAAGGAAAGGGUUGUGUUCCGCUUCGGGGAUAUAGAAAUGACUCCCCUCCUAGAAGAAAUAGGAGGAUUUGUUGGGAUGCCUUGAGAUAGCCCUGGUCUGCUAGCACAUGUAAAUCGCACCACUAGAGGGUUCCUUAAGAUGAUGGGGCUGAAGAAAAAUGAUGAUUUGGAGUGCGUGAAAAACUCCUACAUACCUUUUGGUUUCCUUUAUGAAAGAUACGGUCACAAUAGCUCUUACCGUAUUUUUGAUGAUGAGUUCUCAAUCACCUCUUUGGGCUGGACUCAUCGUAGUGUAUUCGUGUUCAUUGUGUGCUUCUUGGGCAUGCUGGUAUUCCCAAUCUAUGGGAUAUAAUCAAUAGUAGGCUGGACAUGGUGGCCAAAACUCUGAUGGACGGGAUCGAGAGGCAAACAUAUACUAUUGUCCCUAUGAUCAUUGCGGAUAUGUACCGGGCAUUGGAACGUUGUCAGAAGGGGUCCAGAUUCUUUGAGGGUUGCAAUUUGCUAUUACAUGUCUGGCUGUUAGACCAUAUCCGAAGGGGUAAUACCGCCAAGAGUUUCCAUGAAGGCCGUGGAAUGACCACAUAGCCUUCCAUCACCCUAAGAAGAUGACUUACAUUCCAGACAUGUUCGAUCAACCUAAGGAUGCUGUAGGAUGGGUGCAGUUUUUCAACAAGUUGACUAAGGACAAGUUUCAGUGAAUGUUCAAGUGGUUCCCCACCGACAAGUUCACCAUAAGAUCCAGAGAUGUCCCACAUUUGGUGUUGAUCGGGUUAAGAGGGAUAUACCCUUAUGCUCCCUCUAGAGUUAUAAGACAGGCCGACAGGAGACAAGUCAUACCACGGGUUGCUAAUAUGAGUCACUUCAUAGCUGAUUUCCAGGGUAACACCAUCCAUAUAAGAAUAAAGCACAACAUAUAUGGACUUUGAAGAUUAUUGUGGAGAAGGAUACCAUCGAGACAGAUCGAUAUCAUGUGGGCCAUUCAUACUUUUCACCCUAAUGGUUGGAUGAUAAUCUAUCAUGAGUCUUUAAGCCAAGGGUUGGUCAAGGAAAUAAGGUCAUAGAUGAGUUUGCCGAAGCAAAGGUGAACUACAACAAGCUGAUCAAAAGAGUUCGAGAGUCUGAAGCUGAGCCUAUGGCACAACAUAAGGCCGACAUGGAAAUGAUUAAUAAUGGAAAGAAAGAGCUAUUAAAUCUAGCUAGGGGCUGUAAUAUCUAGAAUACAGUUUAAUGGAAUUGGAGGGGAAGAUAAGGAAGAGGGUCAGCGACUGCUAAAACGCUGAAGGAAAUUAAGGAGGGCAUCUGGCAAGGGCAUUCCUACUGCUGAACCUGCGCGAGCUGGGAGAGUUGAUCGACAACAACAUCCGAUCAGGAGAGGGUCCUUAUGGGACCAAGUAGAUUAGAUUUACUUGCUUUCCUUUUAAAUGUAAUAAGGCCAAGUGCCACUAGCAACAUUAUCUUAGUUGGUGUCGUUUUGGAUCGUUUACUUUUACAUUAAUGAAAUGAGGCAAUUAUUGAUACUGAAUUUCUCCAAAUUUAUUUGUUGCUAGGCCUACCUCGGGCACAACGGGGCUCCCAAAUUAGGACGCGAGUUUAUAUUCCUGCAACAUGUGUUUAAAUACUGCAAACAUUUCAGAACCCUUACUGACUUGUUUACCUUUUGUUUUUCUUUAUUCUUUAUUCUCAUCCCAUAAGAUUGGUUCGCACAUACUGUCAUCAUGAGCAUAUCACACUAGAUCUAGAGGUCCUCCAUCUCCUCCUCCAAGUAAUACAAUGAGCAAAGGGAAAGCUAAAAUGGAUGACUUAAGUGGUAUUUGAAAGGAGAAUGUGGAAAAUGCAGAAACUUCAGACGGCUGGAGUACUCCGGCACCGACUGAUUUAGUUUUAAUGUUAGAACAAAAGAUACUGGAGCUACAGGGAGAACUUGAGCAGGUCCGCAACUUGGAAAACCUAUCCCUCACCCUGAAUGCCCCCGAUGUCAACCAACAAAACACCAAGAACCCAACACCUCCCCAAAAUACACUGAACCAACAUCACCAAAACCCUAAUGCACCGCAUCAAUAUGCAACCCACCUCAAAAUAUCAAUCCCUUACCGAUACCAACACCACCAUCAACCAAUCCAAUACCUACUAACAACCACUUAGCACACUCCCCAAAACACACCGGAACCCAUUCCUGAUCUUCAAUACUCAACCAAUGACCACCACUACACCCAGGCUCCUAGAACUUACCAAAACAACACUAUAUAUGUGGAAAGCGUACCUCACUCUAUCAAACAAACUUCCUAUACACCAUAAUCUACUGAGAAGGAACUGCUCAUCAAGAACAUGGCUAAGGAACUCAAGAAGUUGACUAGUCAAGUUCAGGGUGUCAAAGGAGGCAAAAGGGAUAGAAGGUUUGAACUAUGAAGACCUAUGCAUACAUCCAGAUGUAGAACUACCAGAGGGGUACAAACCUCCCAAGUUCGAGAUGUUUGACGGCACAGGUGAUCCAAGGGUUCAUCUAAGGACCUAUUGUGACAAACUUGUCGGGUCGGAAAGGAUGAAAAGAUCCGAAUGAAGCUUUUUAUGAGGAGUAUUAUGGGAGAUGCUUUGUUGUGGUACAUCAGCCAGGAUCCUAAGAAAUAGUCCAACUAGGUGAGUAUAGCAUCUGAUUUCAUGGACCGAUUCAGGUUCAUCACAGAAAAUGCAUAAGAUAUUUCUACAUUCAAAACCUCAAGAAGAAGCCCAUCGAGACUUUUUGCAAGUAUGCUACUCGUUGGAGGUCGGAAGCAGCCAAAGUCAGGCCAUCUUUGGACGAGAAACAAAAGAACAAGUUUUUCGUCAGAGCACAUGAUCCACAAUACUAUGAAAGGUUGAUGGUUAUUGAAAACAUAAAUUCUCUGACAUCAUCAAACUUGGGGAAAGAAUCAAAGAAGGCAUCAAGAGUAGGAUGGUAACAAACUUUGAGGCAUUACAGGCCACAAACAAGGCAUUACAAUCAGGUGGCAUAUCAAAGAAGAAGGCAUUAGGGCAGUAAUGGUGGCUCAAGGCUCGAAAUCUCCACUUACAUAUCAAAUAACUAUACCCACAUAUCAAACACCUCUACCCACAUACCAAGCACCACCGCCUACAUAUCAACCCUCAUCUCCCAGAUAUUCCCAACAGGCCAUCGUCUAUUAUACCUAUAAUUCCCAACCAUCUUAUUUCCAGUCACCUCCGACUCGCCAAAAAUAUCGAAGGCCACGACCUAAUUUUGACUACAAACCACCCAAAAACUACACCGCUAUUGUUGAACCCAUCAACUAGCUGUAUGAAAGGUUGAAAGCCGCAGGUUACAUCACCCUUAUUCCCGCUGUGGCCAUAGAAAACCCGUCCCAAUAGGUCAACCCAAAUAAAACCUAUGCAUACCAUUCCGGUAUGAAAGGGAACACCAUUGACGAGUGCCAAACAUUGAAAGACAAAAUCCAGACACUAAUUGACAAUAAGUUUAUACAGGCAAAAGAAGUUGCAUCCAAUGUCCCCAAUAAUCCUAUCCCGGAUCAUAGGGGUGGCGAGAUACAUAUGAUGAAGAUGGAUAAAGAAUGGGAUCCUGAGGGGUCAAUCUGGCUUAUUAGAGAAGUCGAUGACUUUAAACCUACAGUCACACUUACUCCUAUUGUAGUACAGACUCAUUCACCAAUCGAGGCUGAGGUAGCUGCAUAAGUUCCAUUUGAGGUAGAGAUAGCUCCACCUGCGGCCACCCCUAUUCCAUUUGAAGUAGAAGUGGCCACACCUUUCAUAAUGACAGUAUCAACCACACCUCCUUUUGAUUCAAAAACAAUACCCUGGGAUUAUUUGCCGAAGCUAGGCGAAAAGGAAAGGCAAAAUGGAGAAAUCUGAUGCUGCACAAGGAAUGACUAGGACCGGAAGAAUCUAUACACCUGAACACUUGGGAGGACUAAGUAAGGAUGCCACUACCCAGCAGUCUGUCAUUGAAAUAGGACUAGAUGACCUUUGGAGGAAAGUACAAACGAGGGAAUAUUCCAUCAUUGAUCAUUUGAACAAAACCAUAGCUCAGAUAUCCAUACUAUCACUAUUGCAAAAUUCAGAGGCUAACAAGAAUGCUUUGAUGAAGGUGUUGAGUGAAGCUUACGUGCCCAACAAUAUCACUUGUAGAGAGAUGGCCAAUAUGGUAGGGCGGGUGCUGGAAAGUCAUAAAAUAGUUUUCCACGAGGAUGAGCUACCUCCUGAAGGGUCUUGAUUGAUGGAGGUUCAAGCUCAAUAUUUGUCCAUUGGAUACUCUGAAAAGAUUGGGCAAAGGUUUCUAUAAAAUACGUGCAGAAAGCAUGAACGUGAAAGCCUUCGAUGGGUCUCACAGGGCCACGAUUAGGAAAAUUAAUCUUUGUCUACAGAUGGGGCCAACUUAGUUCGAUGUUGAAUUUCAGGUGCUCGACAUAUCAGCCUCAUACAAUCUUUUGUUGGGCCGACCAUGGAUAUAUGCCGCUAUGGCUGUGGCUUCCACACUACCUCAGGCUGUGAAAUUCGAAUGGAACCAUCAGGAGGUGAUCAUUCAUGGAGAUGAGAGUAACCCCAUUUACACCAGUCAUACCAUCCCGGUUAUCGGGAACAGAAGAAGGCUAGGAGGGGAAACCUAUCAUCACAUCGAACAUGCCAAUGCCAGAGAAAGACAAUUGGUGGAGUAGCAAUAUAGAAAGCAUACUGGCAUGGUCUGGGUAUGAACCCGGCAAAGGGCUUGGGAAGAAUCUCAAGGGUAUUACCAAACCGAUACAGCUGAAAUGUCAUGGUACUACCUUCGAGCUCGGAUACCAGUAUACAAGGCAUGAGUACGAUGAUUUAUCACCUCCAUGGAAUGGACCUUAUUACCCUCUCAAGCAACCAGUACCACAUCUGGGUCAAACCUUUCACUAAGCUGAUAAAAUAUGGGGAACUACAGAAGAAGAAGGCAUUAGCUGGGCUGAGGAAUCUAUUUCUGGAGGAAGGGGACAUGGACUAAAGUGUAAUAAUUGAGGAGGAGGAGGAAGAAAACCUCACUAUUCAGACUGUGGAGAAGGCAUCUAUUCUCAGGAACUAGACCGCCACACUAUCCCAGGCCCGCCGAGUCCCUGGCGUUAUUGUUACUUUUCCUGAUGAAUUGGUGACUGUGACAUUUAUUGAGGAAACACAAUAUAAGGAUAGUGAUUCGAAUGAAGAAGAUGAGAUACCUGAGGAAGUUGUCAAGGAGGUUGAAAACUUUGAGAAUAAGCAUAAGUCCAACCUGGACGAAACCAAGGCAGUAAAUUUAGGGAACGCCUAGACCGUCAAGGAGACUCGCAUCAGCAUUCACUUAUCACCAAUAGAGAAAGUGGAGUACAUUCGUUUCUUAAAGGAGUACGAGGAUAUUUUCGCAUGGUCAUAUGAUGACAUGACCGGUUUGAGCACGUCUAUAUUGGCUCACAAGUUGCCUACUAAUCCAUGUGUCCGCUGGUGAAGCAGAAACUCAGAAAAUUCAAACCAGAUAUGAACUUGAAAAUCAAGGGGGAAGUUACUAAGAAGAUCAAAGCCAAAGUCCUCAGAGUGAUUGAGUACCCAACCUGGUUAGCCAACAUUGUGCCAAUUCCAGAAGAAAGAUGGGAAAGUCAGACUAUGUGUUGACUAUCGAGACUGAAAGAAAGCAAGUCCCAAGGAGGACUUUCCACUACGAAAUAUACACAUCUUGAUCGACAAUUGCGUAAAGCAUGAACUCCAAUAGUUUGUAGAUUUCUUUGCGGGUUAUCACCAAAUCUGGAUGGAUGAAGAAGACGCAGAAAAAUAGCUUUUAUUACACCUUGGGGGGUAUAUUGUUAGGAAAUGAUGCCAUUUGGUCUAAAGAAUGCUACGACUACUUACAUGAGGGCAAUGACAACCAUUUUCCAUGAUAUGAUUCACAAAUAAAUAGAGGCAUUUGUGGACGAUGUCAUUAUCAAAUCCAAGAAGGCCGCGAAUCACAUAGAGGACUUAAGAAAGUUCUUUGACAGGUUAAGAAGGUACAACUUGAAACUGAACCCUGCAAAGUGUGAAUUGGGGUUCCCAUAGGAAAGUUACUGGAUUCAUUAUCAGUCUCCGAGUGAUCGAGUUGGACCCGUCGAAAGAUAAGGUUGUUCCGGAGUUAUCACCGCCCAGGAGCAAAAAGGACAUGAUGAGCUUCCUAGGACGUCUCAACUAUAUUAGUCGCUUCACAGCACAGCCCACAGUUAUAUGUGAACCCAUCUUCAAGAUGCUUAGGAAUGAUGUCGAGACAAGAUAGACCAAGGAUUGUUAGAAAGCUUUCGACAAAAUCAAGAAGUACCUGUCUACACCACCAGUCUUGGUCCCGCUAGAGCCAGGACGGCCUUUGCAACUCUAUAUAUCUGUAUUGGAUGGAGCCUUCAGAUGUGUUCUGGAACAACAUGACGAGACAGGGAGAAAGGAGCAAGCCAUAUACUAACUAAGUAAGAAAUUCACACCUUAUGAAGCACGAUACUCUCUGCCGGAACGCACAUGUUGCACUUUGACCUGGACAACCCAAAAAUUGAGGCAUUACUUCUGUGCCUGUACCACAUACCUCAUAUCCAGUAUUGACCCUUUGAAGUACAUAUUUCAAAAACCCAUGCCAACUGGGAAGUUAGCCAAGUGGUAGAUACUAUUAAGGGAGUUCGAUAUCGUCUAUGUAACUCAAAAGGAGGUCAAAGGACAAGCAUUGGCAGACCACAUUGCUAAAAAUCCAGUGGGAGGAGAAUACGAACCCUUAAAAACAUAUUUUCUUGAUGACGAAGUAUCAUUCGUAGGAGAAGACAUUACUGAAGUAUACGAGGGCUAGAGGAUGUUCUUUGAUGGAACUUCUAAUUUCAAAGGAGUGGGUAUUGGAGCGGUUUUUGUAUCAGAAAUAGGUCAACAUUAUCCGGUAUCUGCUAAACUCAUAUUUCCUUUCACUAAUAAUAUGGCAGAGUAUGAAGCCUGCAUACUAGGGCUCAACAUGGCAAUCGACAUGGAUAUUCAAGAGUUGCUGGUAAUAGAUGAUUCAGAUUUGCUUGUGCACCAGGUACAAAGGGAGUGGGGCGCCAAGAUAUUGCCAUAUCUGCACCAUCUGCAAGAAUUGAGAAGGAGGUUCAUGAACAUAGAGUUUCGGCAUGUUCCUAGAAUUCAGAAUGAGUUUGCCGAUGCAUUGGCCACCUUGUCAUCUAUGAUACAUCAUCCGUACAAGAAUUUCAUUGAUCCCAUCCUAGUGAGAAUUCACAAUCAACCGGCGUAUUGUGCCCACGUUGAAGAAAAAAUAGAUGGAAAACCUUGGUUCCAUGACAUCAAAGCGUAUGUGGCAAAAAAGAGAAUACCCGGAGCAUGCCAACCACAUUCAGAAAUGCACACAUCGGAGAUUGUCCAAUCACUUUUUCGAUAGCGGAGGAAGCUUGUGCAGAAGAACUCCUUAUUUGGGAUUUCUAAGAUGUGUCGACGCAAAAGAGGCUUCUAAGCUACUUGAAGAGAUACAUGUUGGGACCAAUGGCCUGCAUAUGAAUGGUUUUGUCUUCGCUAAGAGGUUACUUAGGACCGGUUACUUUUGGAUGACUAUAGAGAUAGAUUGUGUCUGGUUUGUUCGCAAAUGCUACCAAUGUCAAGUGCAUGCCGAUAUAAUAAGGGUAUCGUUGAAUGAACUCAAUUCAACAAGCUCACCUUGGCCAUCUGCCGCCUGGGGAAUGGAUGUCAUCGGUCCUAUCGAGCCAGUACUUCAAACGGGCACAAGUUUAUUCUAGUAGCCAUAGAUUACUUCACAAAAUGGGUAGAGGCUGCAUCUUACAAAGCUAUAACCAAGAAAGUCAUCACAUGCUUUGUCAAAGAUUGUAUUGUUUGCCGAUUUGGAGUCACGGAGUCUAUUAUCACUGAUAAUGCUGCCAAUCUCAAUAGUGAUCUGAUGAAAUCCAUGUGUGAAACUUUCAAAAUCAUGCACAAGAACUCCACAACAUAUCGACCUCAGAUGAACAGAGUCAUAGAAGCCGCCAACAAAAACAUCAAGAAAAUACUAAGGAAGAUGGUAGAAAACCACAAGCAAUGGCACGAGAAGCUACCCUUUGCUUUGUUGGGAUAUCGCACUACAGUUCGUACAUCAACCGGGGCAACCCUCUACAUGCUGGUUUAUGGUACUGAAGUUGUCAUCCUAGCCGAGGUAGAGGUUCCUUCUUUAAGGAUCAUACAUGAAGCAGAACUCCGCGAUGCAGAAUGGAUAAGGAGCCGCUAUGAAUAGUUGGCCCAUAUAGAUGGAAAAAGAAUGAACUCAAUACACGGUCAACUUUAACGGAAUAGAAUGUCCAGAGCUUUCUUCAAAAGGGUCAAACCAAGGCAAUUUGCACCGGGACAACUGGUGCUGAAGAAGAUCUUCCCAUAUCAAGAUGAAGCCAAAGGCAAAUUCUCUCCCAACUGACAAGGUCCUUGCAUGGUUCACAGGGUGCUAACAGGAGGAGCACUCAUACUUGCAGAAAUGGAUGGAGAAAUUUGGCCGAAACCAAUCAAUUCAAACACAGUCAAAAGAUAUUAUGCUUAGAUGUUUCCCAUUCACAUGAUGUGAUUGAACUAUGCUUGACCUGAUUCCCGUUUAAGAGGGGUUAUGUAGGCAGCCCUGUGGGUUCGGUCAUAUCAUAAUAAAAUUUUCAUUUCCCCCAAGAUCAGAAAUUGUGGCAGAAUUUUGAGGAGGACCCUCAAAAUUCCAGAGCAAGUCCAGCUAACACCAUUGCAUGCCAAAAAAACAGAAAUUGGUUAAGAAACUAGGGCAAAAUUUUGAGGAGGACCCUCAAAAUUCUAACACAAGAAAGUUACAAUGUCUUUGAAAUAUGUUACAAUCACUAGUUCAUCUAAAACUACUUGAUAUUUCACUAUGUUUCUAAAUAACUCUAUUUUUAUCUAUAAUUGCAUAUUUUCGAAAACUCUAUUCCCGUAAUAGACAUGUGUUACCCAGGAAAACUCAAACAAGGCAAGGCCAGCGGAAAAAGGCACGAACCAACCUCCUCCUCACAAAACCUAUAAUUCUUAUUGGAACGCAGGAAUAUCUGACAUAUCAAUAGCAUUCGCAAAAAUAUACACAAAGCAAAAUCACUAUCAAACGGGCCACCGAAUACCGAUAUAUCCUCAGCUAAGAAAUAUUAUACCCUUAUUUCUAUUCCNNNNNNNNNNNNNNNNNNNNNNNNNNNNNNNNNNNNNNNNNNNNNNNNNNNNNNNNNNNNNNNNNNNNNNNNNNNNNNNNNNNNNNNNNNNNNNNNNNNNNNNNNNNNNNNNNNNNNNNNNNNNNNNNNNNNNNNNNNNNNNNNNNNNNNNNNNNNNNNNNNNNNNNNNNNNNNNNNNNNNNNNNNNNNNNNNNNNNNNNNNNNNNNNNNNNNNNNNNNNNNNNNNNNNNNNNNNNNNNNNNNNNNNNNNNNNNNNNNNNNNNNNNNNNNNNNNNNNNNNNNNNNNNNNNNNNNNNNNNNNNNNNNNNNNNNNNNNNNNNNNNNNNNNNNNNNNNNNNNNNNNNNNNNNNNNNNNNNNNNNNNNNNNNNNNNNNNNNNNNNNNNNNNNNNNNNNNNNNNNNNNNNNNNNNNNNNNNNNNNNNNNNNNNNNNNNNNNNNNNNNNNNNNNNNNNNNNNNNNNNNNNNNNNNNNNNNNNNNNNNNNNNNNNNNNNNNNNNNNNNNNNNNNNNNNNNNNNNNNNNNNNNNNNNNNNNNNNNNNNNNNNNNNNNNNNNNNNNNNNNNNNNNNNNNNNNNNNCCAUAUUUGCAUAAGGCUAAGCACUGCCUUCUAUUUGCAUGGGACUAAUCCCUGUCCCGCAUCUUGCAUGAGGCUAAGCUCUGCCUCCAUAUUUGCAUAAGGCUAAGCAUUGCCCUCUAUUUUCAUAGGACGAAGCAUUGUCCCUCCUUGCAUAAAUGGUGCUCUAUUCCGGUACUAUCUAUUUGCUCUCCUGUUGGGCUAAGCUCUACCCUCCACUUCACAAGACUAAGCCUUGUCUUGUUAACAUCAUAUUAUUGCAUCUCAUGGUCUGAAAUAUCGCCAAUCUGUCCAAUGGCGUCAUAGUGUAAAGGCAUCAUCCUCAUAGCCGGAAGACACCAUGCCAUGGCUUGAGGAUCUCUCAAAUUUGCAUAUCAUUAUUCAAAGGCAUCAUGUUUCGGAGGCACCAUCUUCAUGGCCCAAGAACAUCAUUUCAUGGCAUGCGAAUCCCUCACUGAACAAUUCAUGGCCCAAGACAUCAUGGUCUGAGGACGCUAUCCUUAACUGUCCAAAGACAACUUUCAUGGUCCAAAGGGAAUCUGCAUCAUGUUUAAAUUUUCGCACAAAUAUAUGUUUGUAGCAUCUCUUUAUCUGCAGGUGACCAGUAAGCAAUCGUUAUCCCAGCAUGAGCGACCUCGCUCCAGUUCCUUCAACUAUCUCAAACUUGACCGUUCACCAUAACCACUCUUUCAUCCAUCUCGAAAUCUCGUGUCCGUUCUUGUAAUGACUUCAUUGGUAUAUUCCAUCGAUGGAUCAGGAACUAUACAGGUGUGGUUCCCAUAAUACCAGGGAUAUGUAGGCAGCUCAAAGACUAGAGUCCGACCUCUAUCUUCUAAGACAUCCCAUUUGGUCAAAAUUGGCCAUCAUUUCUUUACCCGAAAACUCUUCCAUCCUUCCCGGGUAAAGAGGGGCAGCUGUUAAUACCCAAUUUUUCCUUCAUAGAUAUUUAAAUAUGCAUACAUACUUUCAAAAUAUUGCAUACACAUUUACAAACAUGCACCAGUGUUUUUAUAAUUUUUUCUAUAAUUUUAAAGGUCUUAAAACAAUUUAUUUCUGUAUUUUUAUUUAUACAAAUAUUCAAUAACUAUUCUUCAUAUUAUUAUUUUUAUGAAGAUUUAAUUAUCUAAAUUCAUUAUUUUAUGCCCAUAUAAUGCUUAAAUAUUCUGACUGCAUUUUUACAAUCACAUUUGCAUUUUUAGGCUAGAAUUCCAUAUUUUAUAAUAAUAGCCUAUAUAUACGCACAAUUAUAUUAUCCAUAUAGAAAAUAACUUUUCAAAUUUUUAGAAUAUUAAGUAAGUAUUUUAAAGCAUUUUCAUGCACAAAUCACAUUUUUAUCAUUUGUAUAUUAUUUUAUAAAAUUAAUUGGGUAUUUAAAAUCUAGCCCUAGAAAAUACCCAAUUUCAAACAUAGCCUAGUCCAAUUACCCAUACUCGUCCAAUCCAAACCCAAAUUCAAAUACCUGUUUAAUUUAAACUCGCCCCACCUAACAUUAACCCUGGCAGUUGAUCUCAGAAGAUCAACGACCCUAAAUCUACCCGUUCCUUUUAAUAUAAAAAAAUCCAUAACCCUACCCAUUUUCUUUGAGAUCUGCCGCCCUCGCAGGCUCUCAUCUCUCACCCCUCUCUAACCCUAACGCCACCACCUGUUAUCUCCUCCGAUUCCGACCUAAAAUGGAAUCAACUAUGAAUUCCCCUACAUUAUCGGCAUUUCUUUACCAUUGGUUACUUGUCUACAGCCCUAUUUAGCUGCUUCCUAACAUGGCAAAGUAAAUCUGGCCAAGAUCAAGCUAGACCUGGUUCAAGAUCUUUCAUGUCUUGGCUAUUUCCAUCUAUAUUCAUUCCAAUACUUGUGAGUAUGAAUACCUUUGUAUUUUAGGGUUUCAAAUCUCUGGUUUAAACCAUAUUUGGUUCAACUUCUUUUUAUUUUAUGAAUCUGGCUAAUUUCUGGUUGAUUCUGUUUAGAUAUUCUCAGAUUUGAAACGGUUUCAUGUUUAUUUUGGUAUUUCUUCUUUAAUUUUUUUCCGAGUACUUCCACCUCGAUGUCUUCUGAUCUUUUCCUAUUAUUAUUCCUAACAAAUUUUGGUUUACCCUAAGAUUAGUGUCUUGAUUUCAACGGGGUUUAUUUUUCUACGAAUAUUUAAAUUUUAAACGUUUUCGUCUCUGAGUAUCUAUUAGGGUUUACUCAUUUAUUUUGUUUACUAUGUGCUUCUGUAUUUCUGCCUAAUCUCUUAUAGUUCUGAUUAUUUAACCAAUUAUUUUUGCUACUUCUGCCUGCUUGCCUUAAACUCUGUCGACUAAUUGUUAAUUAAUUUUACCUACCUAAAUUAGGGCUUGAAAUUGGGCUUUCCUUAAUACCGAUGUUUCCUUAUUAGAUUUUUACCUUUUCUUACCUUAUAUGUAAUUAUUAAUUGAUGCUACUAGCCUGAUUUUAUGCUUUGAUUUUCAGAACCAACUUCUAAUUGAUUUCAGAGUUAGUUCCUGCCUUAUUUAACCUAGCCCUUAAUUAUUGAUUGAUUCCAUAUACAAUUUUCCUUAAAUUAAGUAAUACUUAUCUGAUUUUAUGGAUAAUUUGUUCACGCCUGACUUCACUUGAUUGAUUGUCUGAUUAUUUCUUACCUUAUUAACUUUUCUUUGAUUUACUAAGGGAUUCCGUGUGAGACUUCCUGAAAUUAAGUAUCAUUUAUGUGAUUCUGGCCCCUAAUUGAGUCAUGACUGAUUAUUAAUUGAUUUUCAUACCUUAUGUGCAUAUGAUUGGCUCAUUACCUUAUGUGUCAUACUUUACUGCAUAAUAUAAAACCCCUCUUUGCUACUUGUGUUAUUUGUGCUAUUGUGGGUCUAGCCAAGGCUAGAUAGUGAGGCUACUUGCUCUAUAUUCUGCACUCUUUUUCCUCAACUAGUAUAUCUCUAGUUACAUUUGACACCCAAACCCUAUGUGUUUCAUCACUGCAUUAGUUCAUUGGUUAUGAAUUUGACCUACUCUCUUGCUUACUUCUUUGUUUAAGUAUGCCUAAAAUUCUACCCUGCUCUAUAUGCAACUAAUAUGUUUACACUUCACAUGUUCAUCUGAUGCUUGAACAGCCUGUUUGACUUAUGCUUAGCUGUGUGAUCGUGUUGGUACUUAUGCCUAUGGUUAAUCCUGCUUGUGUGCUUGAUUCUAUCCUCUACAUAUUUGCUCCAUGUUUAGUUGCCUGCUGUCCUGGUUAAUUUGUUAGGGCUAUAAGUGUUCUAUGUAUAUUAUUGCCUACCUUUCUCCCUGCACCUCAUUCAUGUACCCUCAAUGAAAUCUCCAUGUGCUCCCAAUCCCUUUACACCCCUGUGUGCUAACAUAUUUGCUAAAGUGUCUGUGGGACUGAACCUUCUAUAAUCUAUUGACUGUCUACUGAAUUUUCUCUCCUCUAAACUAUUCUCAAAAUGUGUUCUUCUAAAAUUGGUUCCAUUCCUAGGAUUUUUCUUAAAACUGGUCUAUUCUAGAAGAUCUUUUAUUCCUGAGAAAUUAUCUCCACAUUGUUUUCACUAAGUCUUUUCAGGCACUCUCAUUUACUCUUAGGUUAUUAAGUUCUGCCCCUCUGGUAUGUGUACUACCUAAGGAUCCUUGAGAUCCCUUUGAACUCUGGCAUAUUAGGGCUGGCUCUUCCACACUGCACAUAAUCGGUCUUUACUUGAGAAAGGUAUUAGUGUGAGCACUGUCCGGGAUCCUUGAGGUCCUUAGGGAACUCUGACAUACCUAGACACUUGUUGGCCAGGGAACUUCUGAGCAUUUGAGACUAUAUUGAAGGCCUGGUAUUCCCAGGUUUAUUUUGGGCCUACUUCAGACUCCCUAUAGUAUUACUCUACAUUUCCUUUGUGUAAUUUAUGCAAUUCUGGUCUAUAAUAAUUAUUUGUAAACAGAUACUUGUGUAACUAAUAAAAGGGAGGGUAGUGUUGUGAUGCUAUGGGUAAAAUUGGGUAGAAAGCAUGCUAUAGGCUUUAUAUUCUGCCAAUCUGCAUUAGAAUCCAUGUUUCUAGGAUUGAUGUGUUCAUUGGAAUCGUGUUGAACUUGUGCAUUAGAUAUCUUGUCUUUAGGGCCUUCACGCUUACUGUUUCAGCAUGUUGCACGUUUAAUUCCUCGUUCUUCGCAAGUACUGUCACAUAGAUACCCUACUGUUAAAUAAUCUUAAUAAAAAAUUGUCAUGUAUUAGAUACCAUGCUCUUAGAAACUCUAUUUGCAUCUGAACUACGUCUAUUAAAUCUAUAGUUGUCCAUGAAAGGGUUUAAAUCAGACUCACGCAUAGGUAUCAUGCCUCUAAACACAAUUGAUAAGUCACCUAUUAUAAUCUGUAGAUAAGCAUGCCUAUAGGAUAAAUGAACUUCAAACUAUUUCCCAGAAUCGUGACUGCAUAUACACACUUAGGCAAGCCUUAAGACGUUAAAUAAUUAUGAAACCAAUUCUGAUUAUGUGUGAAAUUAUCCAGGCAUAACAGGCUAUAAAACCAGUAGGCAAACUGGUUAGGAUUCUGCCACUUCCCUUAAAACAAACGCUGCAUGUUCUGUUUUUUGAUGUUCAUCUAGAUAUCAUGUUCCUAGGCUUUCUGAACUUAUUCAAAAUCAAUUGUUUGAGACGUGCUGUUUAUUUGCUUAUGUACAUGUGGAGGUAAAUAUGAGCCUUAACUACUUUUCCCUAUUUGAUUGUCCUAUAUGUUCUUUGCUUGUCGCCUAGAUUUUCCCUUUUAAACACCUUAGGUUGUCUAGAACUGCCAAGAUUUAGAGGUCCUAAACUCCUCUAGGACCACCAGGAAGGGAUAGGUAACAACACGCUUAGAGGUCGUUAAUUAAACUCAUUUAUAUAACCACUAAGGGAACGGUAAUGGGUUGUAAAAGAUAUGAUGACUUGCACGCUAAUGUCACGUUUAGCCCCUCUAGUUAAGGAGGAUUACCGGACAUUGCAUAGAUUGAUCAUGUAGGUUAAUCAACUUAGGAAUUCCCUUUUCCAAUUCCUAUAUGUGUUUAAGUUAUCUAAACUUCCUUCUCUUUACAUAUACAUGUGUAAGUUGUCCAAACCUCUCGUGCUUUCAUUAUCUGAAUUUCCUUGAUCAUAUAUGCAUUUAGGCUGUAAACCUACGUUUAUUUGCAAAUAUGUGUUAAAACUGUCUACUUGUUAAAAUGACUAAUUCACAUAGUUUAAGUUUGCACGGGACCCACCGUUAUGUACCGCGAGGGGUGCCUAGCACCUUCCCCUCAAGGUUAUUUCGAGCCCUUACCCUAAUCUCUGGUGAUACAAACUAGUUACAUGAGUUAAUCGCUCUAGGUGCCCUAACACACCAUAAUUCGUUAGAUGGCGACUCUUCAAAUACCCGAUUUCCAAAAGGAAACGAGUUGUUCCCCCAUUGAAUGUCGAAACCCAGACUCCGCAAGGAAAAAGGGGGCGUGACAGACCGCAUAACACUUCUUUUGAAAUUUCUCAUGCUGGUUCCAUAACGAAUGUGCGGCUCGCAAAACGCUUAUGCAAUCGUAUAGUUGACCGCAAAACAACCUCCAAAAUUGGCCCAUUUCUCUACUUCACUCUGUGGCAGAUCAACGGUCCACAGAUCAGUUCUGUUGUCGCAUAAUGGACCGCAAAAAUCCUUUGUUCUUCAACAAUUGUUCUUCAACUCCCCAACGCUCUGUCCAAACCAAAAAUGCUCUGUUCUACAACCCUCAAAUACAUUAUCCUACCUCGGCCCCGCAAAACCCCAAGUUUUAGGUGAAAUUUUAUGGGCCUUACAGUUAACACCCUAAAAUGGACCAAUUACCUCUAUUGCCAUGCUGGCCCAACACCACCGAGCUGACCCAUUUCUUUGGAUCCUCCUCGGCUUUCCUUCAGGGUAACACUCCUCCUUGUUGGUACACAACGAUCGCAAAACCAAUACUGAAUGAAGAAGACCCUAGCAUGAACCAUGUAUCCCAAAUGCUUACAAACCACUGUAUUUCCUCUGAAGCACUCCAUAAUGCCACAACCGAGAUGUCCACACUGAAUAGACCUUUUGUGAAUUUGAAAUUGUUUCUCUGAUCCCUUUGAUACUGAAAUGUAGAUUCAUAAAUGACGCAGAAAUACCGCAAGUCCCAACAUCAUCCCAUACAACCUCAAAUCUUAACCAUAUACAAAUUUUGGGGAAACCUUUCAAUAGUAUACACAUACACCUUAGGCCAAAGCUGAUAUAACACCUGACCCUGCAAGCUGCUCGUCGAUAGUGGACUCCCACACUUGGAGAAAAGCCAUAGGAUGUAACAUCUGAUGAACCACAAUACUAACCUUCACCGCUCCUACAACAUCAACCACGUGAUAUCUCAAAUCAUCUACUAAGCGUAUGUCCUCUCUCUUGAUAGUCGAGCUCGCUUCCUCCUUUGCCUUGAAUGAUAAUAGAUACCUUCCACUGAGUAUAAAUCCCUUAUGAACCACAUAGUCACUAAUAUCACUAACUAUCCUCCAAUCAACCUCCACCUCGUGUCCCAUCCAUAGCAUCCCGAACCGUUGUCACAUAGUUGAUACCGAGUGUGCAAUAUCGUACACGAGUGGAUGCAAAGGAACAUGAGAUAUAUGCUUCAAGAUGAACCAAUGCCACACGACAAGGAAUGAAAGAAGUGAAAUUUCCAAAUAGUUUCUGUAGCCUCUCAAGAAUAAAUACAAACGUCUCUGUAUCGAUCCACAGGACUCUAUCAUACCUACUUAUGACUCGUAGCACCUAUUAACCUUGAGCUCUUAUACCAACUUUUCACGACCCAAAAUCCCUGUGAAGGAGUCAUGAUGGAACCUAGUCUCUAAAACUAGGUAAGCCUAACACAUACCGAAAUAAUAAAUGUUCUACUAAAUAGCUAUUAAUCAUGAACCAGAAAUUUUUAAAUAAACCAAUAGUUUCAACAUGAUACAAUAUCCCAAAACCGGUAGUACAAGUCAUAAGCUUUUUAAGAAUAAAUAUAUAUAUAAUGAAUACAUCACUAUUCCAGAAUAAUAGGAAAUAAUGGAAAUAAAUACAACAGAACGUGACUUUGUAGCUUGUGAAUGUCUAGCAGGUGUACCUUGAAGUCUCCAGCCGCACAAGCAUAAGUCGCACAACAAGCACGAUCUGAAGUACUUGGUUCUGUACAAAAAUAUGCAGAAGCGUAGAAUGGGUACAUCACAGUGGUACCAAGUAAUUAUCAAGCCUAACCUCGGUAGAGUAGUGACGAGGCCAGGUCAAGACACCUACUGAACAUGUAAACCUGUGAAGGAUAUGACUUAAAUCUAACAAGGAUGGGAUGUAUGUGUAAUGCCAAUAGUAGAAAGAAUUCAAAUUACAAACAAUGCUGAAGAUAAGGGUGUCACGACCAAAGUUUCCCUCCGUAGGAUGUCGUAACGACACCUAGUCUCUAAGACUAGGUAAGCCUAACAACUAAGGGAGAGAAAAAUAUAUAACUAAAAAUUGUCGCUCAGGAUGUACAAGUAAAAUUGCAACUCAGAGAAGAACAACUCCCAAAAUCCGGUAGUCACAAGGUUUAAGGAAGUACUAACUAUAUCUAGACAUCAGAGUCUGAAAGAAUAAAGAACAAGCAAUAUAAUAAGGAUAGAGGGGGACUCCGAGGUCUGCAGGCGCUAACAGAUAUACUUUGAAGUCUCCCAGCAGCAGCCCAAUGCUCUACUAUCGAAGCUGAUAAGAUGUACCUGGGUCUACACAAACACAUGUGCAAGAGCGUAGUAUGAGUACACCACAACGUUACCUAGUAAGUGACAAGCCUAACCUCGGUAAAGUAGUGACGAGGUCAUGUCAGGGCCCUACUAGAAUAUAGGAAAUAAGGCAAAAUAAUAAAAAUAAUGGCAGGUUAAUGAAAUAGUAAGAAUGUAUAGAACAGCAACAACAGGGGAAAACGAGAAUAUAAUUACAACACGUAAGGAAGCAAACGUCUUACAAGUAAAGGAACAACAACAACAAUAAACAACACAUCAAAAUAGAGGUAAAAUAGUAACUGCAUGGUAGAAACCUCGUGCCACAAUAUAACCCCCACGGCAGAAACCUCGUGCUACAACACUCCGCACAGAAGAAACCUCAUGCCACAACCAAACAGAUCAACUCAACAAGAAUCGUGAAAGUCAACACUUAGUAAAUGAAACAAUGAUAAUAUAGGAAAGAAAUCCUACAGUUAAAGAACGUACACGAAAUCAAGGAAGCAAAUAAUUCACCUAAGCAUGUUGUACAAAUUUCAAUUAAGAGAUGAGACACGUAUACAUUUGAAAUUUCGCUAAACAUGAUGAAUACACGUGCUAGAAUAACUCAAUUAAGGCAUAAAAAGGAAACUACUUAGAAAGACCGGAAAUUCAACAUUUAGCCUGUGUACGCACUCGUCACCUCGUGUAGAUGGCACUCACAUAUCACAAAUUGUUACAACAGUACCAAAUCCUAAGGGGAUUUUCCCCACAUAAGGUUAGACAAGUCACCUACCUCACACCAAGCUCAAUCAAUCAAUAAGAAUGCCUUUCCCUCGAAUUUCCGACUCAAAAAACAAUUACAUACUAUAAAUAUAACUACAAGAAACUAAUAUAAUUAAUGAAAUCAUGAAUUUAAUAACAACAACCAUUAUAAUCCCACUUAGUGGGGUAUGGGGAGGGUAAUAUGUACGCAAACCUUACCCCUACCCUGGGGUAGAGAGGCUGUUUCCAAAUAGACCCCCGACAUCCAUCCCUCCAAGAACUUCCCACCUUGCUCUUAGGGAGACUCGAACUCACAAACUUUUGGUUGGAAGUGGAGGUUGCUUACCAUCAGAGCAACCCCUCUUGUCGAAAUCAUGAAUUUAAUAAGAAAUUAGAAAAUCGACUCAAAAAGUCGACCCACACCCACGUCUCGAAAUCAGGUAAAAGUAACAAAAAUACUAACACCUAUUAAACCACGAGUCCACCCAUACCAAAAUUACUCAAAUACAAUACCAAAACCACGAUCGAAACUUCAAAUUUUGGUCUAAGAACUUUACACCUUUUCCCCCUAAUUUCUAAACCAAAAUCCUUAAUUAAAUGAAGCAAUUAAUGAUAGAUUAGUGGAAUAUAAUAAAAAAUGAUUCAAAAAUUACCCAAACGUUUCCUCUGAAAACACGCAAAAAUCAUGCCUCAAUGCGAACUCUCUAGGUCCAAAAAUGGAUAAUGAAAUCAAACCCUCGACUUUUCCCUUUUUCUGCCCAGCCAAAUUGCAUCUGCGGCCCAAGAAAUGCUUCUGCGACGCCGCACCUACAGAAAAACCAUCGCAUGUGUGGAAAACACUAAAGUCCAGGGCUUCCCCUUCUACGGAUAUGGGUCCGCAUCUGUGAGACCGCUUCUGCGAAACAAAGAUCGCACCUGCGACCACUAGCGCUUCUACGCCCCUACCAUCAUAGAAGUGAAGGUGCUUCUGCGGAUAAUUUCCCACUUCUGCAACCACCUCUGGGCGAGGCCAGUUUUGCAUCUGCAACUCAAAUCUCUCUUAUGGGAGUCCGUACCAAUGGACAAAUCCUACUGUAAUUGCGAUGACACCAGAAUCAGCCCAACAUCAACAAUCCUCUAACUCUUAAAACGAUCUGAAAAUUAUUUGAAUCACACCUGAGGCCCCCGAGACCUCAACCAACAAGUGCUAAAACAUCAUAUGAACAUAGUAUAGCCUUUAAAUCACAUCAAACAAUGCUAAAACCAUGGAUCACACCCCAAUUAAAGCUUAAUGAACUAAGGAAAUUCUAAUUCUAUAAACGAUGUCGAAACCUAUCAAAUCACUUCUGAUUGACCUCAAAUUUUGCACACAAGUCACAUUUGGCAUUACAGACCUACUCCAACUUCUGAAAUCAUAAUUCUACCUCGAUAUCAAAAAGUCCACUCCAAGUCAAACUUCCCAAAACUCUUCCAAUUUCCAACUUUCGCCAAAUUAUGCCGAAAUGACCUACGGACCUCCAAAUCAACAUCCGAACAUGCUUCUAAGACCAAAAUCACCAUACGGAGCUAUUGGAACCAACGAAACUCCAUUCUAGAGUCGUCUUUACACAAGUCAAACUACGGUCAACUCUUACAACUCAAACUUCAAACUUAGGGACUAUGUGUCCCAUUCCACUUCGAUACUCUCCCAAACCCUACACCAAGUACCCUAGCAAGUCAAGUAACCAUAAAAUGAAAAAAAAGAGACAAUAAAUAGGGCAUCAGGGCUAAUACUCUCAAAACGAAUGGCCGGUUUGUUACAUCCUCCCCUUCUUAAAACAAUCGUUCAUCCUUGAACGAGUAUAGAGACAUACAUGAAACGGUGAAAAGAUGAGGGUAUCGGCUGUACAUAUCAUGUUCGGUCUCCCAAGUUACCUCCUCGACUGGCUGACCUUUCCAUUGAACCUUCAUUGAAGCAAUGUUCUUCGACCUCAACGUUCGGACCUGCCUGUCCAAAUUGGCUACCGGCUCCUCGACAUAAGAUAAAUCCUUGCACAACUAAACUUAACUGAAAUCUUACACACGAGACGGAUCGUUGUGAUACUUCCAGAGCAUAGAAACAUGGAAUAUUGGAUGAACUACAACUAGACUGGGUGGUAGUGCAAGUCUAUAAGAUACCUCUCCAACCCUCUCAAGAAUCUCAAAUGGCCCGAUAUACCAAAGGCUCAACUUGCCUUUCUUCUCGAAGCUCGCGACACGCUUCAUGGGAUAAACUCGGAGCAAGACACGGUCCCCAACCAUGAAUACAACAUCACGAACCUUUCGAUCUGUAUAACUCUUCUAUCUGGAUUGGGCAGUACGAAGUUGAUCAUGAAUCACUUUAACCUUUUCCAAAGCAUACUAAACCAAGUUUGUACCCAAUAGUCUAGCCUCGCCCGGCUCAAACCAACCCACUGGAGACCACACUGUAUACCAUACAAAUCUUAAUACGGGGCCAUCUGAAUGCUCAACUGGUAACUGUUGUUGUAGGAAAACUCUGCAAGUGGCAAGAAUUGAUUCGAAAAACAUUAAAACUCCAUCACGCAUGCAUGGAACAUAUCCUCCAGUAUCUGAAUAGAGCGCUCGGACUCUCUGUUCGUUUGAAGGUAAAAUGUAGUGCUCAACUCCACCAGAGUACCUAACUCAUGUUGAACAGCCCCACAAAACCAUGUGUAAACCUCAUACCCCAAUAUGAGAUAAUGGAUACCAGCAUGCCAUGAAACCUAACAAUCUCGCAAAUAAACUCGAUUCAUCUACUCGGAAGAAUAAGUAGUCAUCACUUGAAUGAAAUUAGUUGACUUGGUUAACCUAUCCACAAUCACCCAAACUACAUCAAACUUCCUCUGAUUCCGUGGAAGCCCAACAACAACAUAUAUAGUGAUUCACUCCCAUUUCCACUCCAGAAUCUCUAGUUUCUGAAGCAAUCCACCUGGUCGCUGAUGCUUAUACUUCACCUACUGACAAUUUAUGUACCGAGCUACAUACUUUACUAUAUCCUUCUUCAUUCUCCUCUAUCAAUAAUGUUGCCUCAGGUCCUGAUACAUCUUUGCAGAACCUGGAUGAAUGGAGUACCACGAACUGUGAGCCUCCUGGAGAAUCAACUCAUGCAACAACCCAUCUACAUUAGGCUCAAACAGCCUACCCUGCAUCCUCGAUGCAUUGUCAUCUCCAAUAGUGACCUCCUUUGCAUCACUAUGUUGAAUCAUUUUUUUAAGGAUAAGCAGAUGGGGGUUAUCAUACUGAUGCUCACUAAUACGAUCAUAAAGAGAAAACUGAGAAACCACACAAGCCAAAACUCGAUAUGGUAGGCCAAGGCCUGAACAUCCAAUGCCUGAACAAAAUGGUAGGCCAAGGCCUGAACAUCCAAUGCCAAUGGCCUCUUCUGUUAGUAUAUAUGCUAAGCUGCAGAAACUCUCUGCCCUGCGACUCAAGGCAAAUUCCUAUAACAGGUAUGUUAAGGCUAAGAUUUUCAUUCAUUGUAUCAUGAUCGCAUCAUUACACAAGUUUAAUAAUGAGCCAUAGAGAAAAAUUCAUAUUCCGGAAUUUACGUAUAUUUUGUUAGUCUCGCAAAUUACAUAUAUUUUCCUAGUUUUGUAAGUUACCAUAUUAUUCUUAUCGAGAUUGCAUAUUCAGUUGAGUAUUUCCUUCUUCCAGUGAAAAGAGUAGAGAGUUUACAUAUAUAUAGUAUUAAAAGUAUUUUCAUUACCAUCGAGCUAUAAUCGAUGGGCAGGCCUCUAUUGGGAAACCUCUGAUCAGAUGGUAAGUUAUAUACCGAGCCUACUAUGGCUGAGUGCUUAUGAGCGAGCCUAAUUGGUCGAGAUACAAAGCCUAGUAUGGCCGAGUAACUAUGAACGAGCCUACUAUGGCAGAGCAGUUAUAUAUAUAUAUACCGAGCUUUAUAGGGCCGGAUAGCUAUUUUACUUACUAUAUUGAGAGAGCUGAGUCAAUAUCAGCAGGUAAGCGCAUCUUUAGAUUAUUGUUGACUUCCAGCUAAUUACAGUUAUUAUAUUAUCAAUUCAGUUUUAGCUUUCAGUAUAUUGCGUUACAUACUCGGUACAUUAUUUUGUACUGACGUGCCUUUUGCUUGGGUACGCUACGUUUCAUGCCCGCAGAUCCAGAUAGAUAGGUCGAGAGCUUCCAAGUAGGCUAUCAGCUCAGCGGAAGAUGCUGGUGCGCUCCAUUUGCUUUGGAGUUGAAUGUUUGGUUAGUAUGAUUUAGAUGUGUUUUGUUUGGUAUGGCGGGACUCUGUCCCGACCUUUAUAACUUUAUGUACUCUUAGAGGCUUGUAGACAUAUGUCGUGUACGUGAAAGAUUGUACGGCCUUAUCGACCUAUGUUUUGAAUUUAUAAAUGAUCAUGUUGUCCUAU